rnacentral:rRNA from 1 species
AUUGAACGCUGGCGGCAUGCUUUACACAUGCAAGUCGAACGGUAACAGGGAAGCUUGCUCCCGCUGACGAGUGGCGAACGGGUGAGUAAUGCAUCGGAACGUGCCGAAUAGUGGGGGAUAACGCACCGAAAGGUGUGCUAAUACCGCAUACGCCCUGAGGGGGAAAGUGGGGGACCGCAAGGCCUCACGCUAAUCGAGCGGCCGAUGUCGGAUUAGCUAGUUGGUGGGGUAAAGGCUCACCAAGGCGACGAUCCGUAGCGGGUCUGAGAGGAUGAUCCGCCACACUGGGACUGGGACACGGCCCAGACUCCUACGGGAGGCAGCAGUGGGGAAUUUUGGACAAUGGGGGAAACCCUGAUCCAGCCAUGCCGCGUGUCUGAAGAAGGCCUUCGGGUUGUAAAGGACUUUUGUCCGGGAGGAAACCCUGAUCGUUAAUAGCGGUCGGGACUGACGGUACCGGAAGAAUAAGCACCGGCUAACUACGUGCCAGCCGCCGCCGUAAGAC